rnacentral:rRNA from 1 species
AGAGUUUGAUCCUGGCUCAGAUUGAACGCUGGCGGAAUGCUUUACACAUGCAAGUCGAACGGUAGAGGGGGCAACCCCUUGAGAGUGGCGAACGGGUGAGUAAUAUAUCGGAACGUGCCCAGUCGUGGGGGAUAACGUAGCGAAAGUUACGCUAAUACCGCAUACGAUCUAAGGAUGAAAGCGGGGGAUCGCAAGACCUCGCGCGAUUGGAGCGGCCGAUAUCAGAUUAGGUAGUUGGUGGGGUAAAGGCUCACCAAGCCAACGAUCUGUAGCUGGUCUGAGAGGACGACCAGCCACACUGGAACUGAGACACGGUCCAGACUCCUACGGGAGGCAGCAGUGGGGAAUUUUGGACAAUGGACGCAAGUCUGAUCCAGCCAUUCCGCGUGCAGGAUGAAGGCCCUCGGGUUGUAAACUGCUUUUGUACGGAACGAAAAGGUUUGUCUUAAUACGAUGAGCUCAUGACGGUACCGUAAGAAUAAGCACCGGCUAACUACGUGCCAGCAGCCGCGGUAAUACGUAGGGUGCAAGCGUUAAUCGGAAUUACUGGGCGUAAAGCGUGCGCAGGCGGUUAUGUAAGACAGAGGUGAAAUCCCCGGGCUCAACCUGGGAACUGCCUUUGUGACUGCAUAGCUAGAGUACGGUAGAGGGGGAUGGAAUUCCGCGUGUAGCAGUGAAAUGCGUAGAUAUGCGGAGGA